UUUAAGGGCUGCCCUACAGUAAUGGGCCUAAAGGCCGGCCCAUAGAAUAAAAGCCAUUCAUGUUGCCCUAAUCCCACACUCACUUUCAUUCUCACAGAUCCAGCCGUCACUCUCCCUUCCCCCUCACAGAACGCUCUGCUAGGGUUGCCCUGAGGUCCACUUCGAGCUAGCUCAAACUCAAUUCCUACUCCGCCUCUUUAGCCGUUCCCAGGACAGCGUGCUAGCUAUCGUGCCGCCAAGGCUUUCCGUUAACCCUUCCUUCAGAUGGGCGAGGUUCUCGUGGUCAGCAAGGGAAUGGAGACUCUACUGCCUAGUCCGCGUGGAUUGGACUAUAGCUUAUUUUGAAUUUUUCUUUAGGGCUAUGGCCCCUGUAUUUCGUUGUUAUUGGAUUGUAAAUUUUUAGUUAAACCGUUAUCCUGCUUUUGUUGACAUCGUGGUGUGCCUAGCUUUGGUAGGGGAAGUGUUGAGAACCCCAGGACUACGCUACAUUGUUAUCUCUGUGUGACGUUUCCUUUAAU